UCUGCAGAAAAAGGAAUCUCAGGGUUACAUGUAUGUACUCGGAUAAUAAACUUUACUUUGAACUUUGUUCCAAUGAACUUGUCCUUCUACGUAUUUUGGAAAACAUUCGUAGCACUUCUGCUGUGCCUUGAGGUGCCCACUCUAACUGGCCCAGACUCCACGGGAGCAAGUUAAACAGCAGAGAUCACCGUCCACCAGUAGGCACAACUUUUGGAAGAUUGGAAUGUUUCAGAGUUUGAAGAACAAUUCCAGCAUCAUCUGUGAAGAGUUUGUACACUCUCCCGUUGGUUUCCUAUGGGUGCUUGGGUUUCCUCAAACAGUCCAAAGACGUACCAGUUAGUAGGGGUUAACAUGGGGACAGCCAACAAAUUCCUUCCGAAUGAGGAUCAAAUAAGGUCAAACCUGUUUCACUGUCGAAAUCGAAUUUCCUCGAUCUUUUAACUCCUGAACUCCGAUCUUCACUCUCCACGAUUUUUAACUGGCAGUAUAAUAAAGAAAAUGCCGGCGAUGAC